rnacentral:lncRNA from 1 species
AUUCCUGCGUCCCACGCACUCCGGGUGCCAUGCCUCCCAAAUGCACUCAACUCCCCACAGAAAAGGGAACCCAUCCUUCUGCCGCAUAAAGUCAGAGCCAGGGGAUCCCAGCCCACAGAAUGGUGAAACCUACAUCCCACCUUGGUCUUCCUCUUUAACCUUUCUGGAAAUACCCUCCUAGUAACACCCAAAGGAGUGUUUCCAUGGAGAUUCUAAUCCCACCUACUUGAGCAUCAAAGGACCAGUGAGAUGGCUCUGUGUACCCACUUGCUGCCAAGCCUGAUGACCUGGGUUCAAUCGCUGGGACCCAGUGGUGGAAAGAGAGAACCAACUCUGGAAGUUGUCCCUGUGAUGUGUUCCCCGACCCCCACAUGCAAAUUCUUAAUUAAUAUAAUUUUAUUUAUGCAUUAUUUAUUUA